GACGAACGCUGGCGGCGUGCUUAACACAUGCAAGUCGAACGGAAAGGCCCUGCUUUUGUGGGGUGCUCGAGUGGCGAACGGGUGAGUAACACGUGAGUAACCUGCCCUUGACUUUGGGAUAACUUCAGGAAACUGGGGCUAAUACCGGAUAGGAGCUCCUGCUGCAUGGUGGGGGUUGGAAAGUUUCGGCGGUUGGGGAUGGACUCGCGGCUUAUCAGCUUGUUGGUGUGGUAGUGGCUUACCAAGGCUUUGACGGGUAGCCGGCCUGAGAGGGUGACCGGCGACAAUGGGACUGAGAGACGGCGCAGACGCCUACGGGAGGCAGCAGUGGGGAAUAUUGCGGAAUGGGCGGAAGCGAGAUGCAGAAACGCCGCGUGCGGGAUGACGGCCUUCGGGUUGUAAACCGCUUUCGCAUGUGACGAAGCGUGAGUGACGGUAAUGGGUAAAGAAGCACCGGCUAACUACGUG
rnacentral:rRNA from 1 species